rnacentral:rRNA from 1 species
UGGUGGAGUGAUUUGUCUGGUUAAUUCCGAUAACGAACGAGACCUUAACCUGCUAAAUAGACCAGCCGACUUUGGUUAGCUGCUGUCUUCUUAGAGGGACUAUCAGCCGUUUAGCUGAUGGAAGUUUGAGGCAAUAACA